GAUGAACGCUGGCGGCGUGCUUAACACAUGCAAGUCGAACGGGAAACCUUUUAUUGAAGCUUCGGCAGAUUUCGCUGGUUUCUAGUGGCGGACGGGUGAGUAACGCGUGGGUAACCUGCCUUAUACAGGGGGAUAACAACCAGAAAUGGUUGCUAAUACCGCAUAAGCGCACAGGACCGCAUGGUCCGGUGUGAAAAACUCCGGUGGUAUAAGAUGGACCCGCGUUGGAUUAGCUAGUUGGCAGGGUAACGGCCUACCAAGGCGACGAUCCAUAGCCGGCCUGAGAGGGUGAACGGCCACAUUGGGACUGAGACACGGCCCAGACUCCUACGGGAGGCAGCAGUGGGGAAUAUUGCACAAUGGGGGAAACCCUGAUGCAGCGACGCCGCGUGAAGGAAGAAGUAUCUCGGUAUGUAAACUUCUAUCAGCAGGGAAGAUAGUGACGGUACCUGACUAAGAAGCCCCGGCUAACUACGUG
rnacentral:rRNA from 1 species